UACAUGCAGUCGAGCGAACGGACGAGAAGCUUGCUUCUCUGAUGUUAGCGGCGGACGGGUGAGUAACACGUGGAUAACCUACCUAUAAGACUGGGAUAACUUCGGGAAACCGGAGCUAAUACCGGAUAAUAUUUUGAACCGCAUGGUUCAAAAGUGAAAGACGGUCUUGCUGUCACUUAUAGAUGGAUCCGCGCUGCAUUAGCUAGUUGGUAAGGUAACGGCUUACCAAGGCAACGAUGCAUAGCCGACCUGAGAGGGUGAUCGGCCACACUGGAACUGAGACACGGUCCAGACUCCUACGGGAGGCAGCAGUAGGGAAUCUUCCGCAAUGGGCGAAAGCCUGACGGAGCAACGCCGCGUGAGUGAUGAAGGUCUUCGGAUCGUAAAACUCUGUUAUUAGGGAAGAACAUAUGUGUAAGUAACUGUGCACAUCUUGACGGUACCUAAUCAGAAAGCCACGGCUAACUACGUGCCAGCAGCCGCGGUAAUACGUAGGUGGCAAGCGUUAUCCGGAAUUAUUGGGCGUAAAGCGCGCGUAGGCGGUUUUUUAAGUCUGAUGUGAAAGCCCACGGCUCAACCGUGGAGGGUCAUUGGAAACUGGAAAACUUGAGUGCAGAAGAGGAAAGUGGAAUUCCAUGUGUAGCGGUGAAAUGCGCAGAGAUAUGGAGGAACACCAGUGGCGAAGGCGACUUUCUGGUCUGUAACUGACGCUGAUGUGCGAAAGCGUGGGGAUCAAACAGGAUUAGAUACCCUGGUAGUCCACGCCGUAAACGAUGAGUGCUAAGUGUUAGGGGGUUUCCGCCCCUUAGUGCUGCAGCUAACGCAUUAAGCACUCCGCCUGGGGAGUACGACCGCAAGGUUGAAACUCAAAGGAAUUGACGGGGACCCGCACAAGCGGUGGAGCAUGUGGUUUAAUUCGAAGCAACGCGAAGAACCUUACCAAAUCUUGACAUCCUUUGACAACUCUAGAGAUAGAGCCUUCCCCUUCGGGGGACAAAGUGACAGGUGGUGCAUGGUUGUCGUCAGCUCGUGUCGUGAGAUGUUGGGUUAAGUCCCGCAACGAGCGCAACCCUUAAGCUUAGUUGCCAUCAUUAAGUUGGGCACUCUAAGUUGACUGCCGGUGACAAACCGGAGGAAGGUGGGGAUGACGUCAAAUCAUCAUGCCCCUUAUGAUUUGGGCUACACACGUGCUACAAUGGACAAUACAAAGGGCAGCGAAACCGCGAGGUCAAGCAAAUCCCAUAAAGUUGUUCUCAGUUCGGAUUGUAGUCUGCAACUCGACUACAUGAAGCUGGAAUCGCUAGUAAUCGUAGAUCAGCAUGCUACGGUGAAUACGUUCCCGGGUCUUGUACACACCGCCCGUCACACCACGAGAGUUUGUAACACCCGAAGCCGGUGGAGUAACCUUUUAGGAGCUAGCCGUC
rnacentral:rRNA from 2 species